UACGUAGGUGGCGAGCGUUAUCCGGAAUUAUUGGGCGUAAAGAGCGCGCAGGUGGUUGAUUAAGUCUGAUGUGAAAGCCCACGGCUUAACCGUGGAGGGUCAUUGGAAACUGGUCGACUUGAGUGCAGAAGAGGGAAGUGGAAUUCCAUGUGUAGCGGUGAAAUGCGUAGAGAUAUGGAGGAACACCGAUGGCGAAGGCAGGUCUCUGGGCAGUAACUGACGCUGAGGAGCGAAAGCAUGGGUAGCGAACAGGA
rnacentral:rRNA from 1 species